rnacentral:rRNA from 1 species
GUACGUACUGGCAUUGUUGGUUUCUCCCUUCUGACGAACCAUGAUGCCAUUUAUUUGGUGUUGUGGGGAAUCAGGACUGUUACUUUGAAAAAAUUAGAGUGUUUAAAGCAGGCUCACGCUUGAAUACAUUAGCAUGGAAUAAUGAAAUAGGACGUUUGAUUCUAUUUUGUUGGUUUCUAGGAUCGACGUAAUGAUUAAUAGGGAUAGUUGGGGGCAUUAGUAUUCAAUUGUCAGAGGUGAAAUUCUUGGAUUUAUUGAAGACUAACUACUGCGAAAGCAUUUGCCAAGGAUGUUUUCAUUAAUCAAGAACGAAAGUUAGGGGAUCGAAGACGAUCAGAUACCGUCGUAGUCUUAACCAUAAACUAUGCCGACUAGGGAUCGGAUGAUGUUAAUUUUUUAAUGACUCAUUCGGCGCCUUACG